GAGCGGGCUUGUGUGGGAGCGAGCUUGCGGUCUUUGUGCGACUGCAAACGAUAGCUACAAAAAAGGCGACCCGAAGGUCGCCUCAUUGACUCACUCA
rnacentral:tRNA from 1 species